UUUUUAUAAGAAAAAGCAAAAAAAUAAGCAUUAAGAUAUCUCUGUUGUUUUUUUUACAAGAGCAUAUAAAAUUUAGCAUCCACUUUAAUAUAGAGUAAAAAGACUUAUUGGCAAAGAUGAACAUCUAUUCCUUUGGAAAUCUUGGCAGCUAGACCCAAGUAGGCAUCUGGAUUGGGGAUAUCAUUGUUUGUCUUCUCAUACUCCAAAGUCCAUUUCACGCAGUCAGAACCAAUCUCAACUUUGGCCUUGAAACUCUUAUACACCUUCAAAACAUCCCCUUCAACGACAUCAAAUACAAAUGUCUUCCUUGCAUCAUCCAUAGUUUCAAACCUUACUUUUCCUCCCAUCACUGGACUUCCGUCAAGGCAAUAUUUCCAGCUGGUGAUAGAGCCAGUUUUGACCUCACCACCUCCUACAACUUCAAAGCUCUUGAUGUUGCUCUGGAACAUCUGAGGGAAACGGGGCAUAUUGUUUUUAAAGAAGCUGUAGAACUUGUCUGGAGUUGUUUUGAUCCCUAUCUGCCUCUCGAGCUUUGAAAGCUGAGCAAGCUGAGCCAUGACUAUUACUACCAAAAACCAGAAACCUUAAGCUCUAAUGUGGUGAUGAAAAAUUAGAUUCCAUGAUUUCCUUUAUUUAUAAAAUCAGCAGUGGCCUUUUCAAGGGGCUUUAGAAUCAUG
rnacentral:misc_RNA from 1 species